GUGCUCACUUUGCUAGCACAUACACUAAAAUUGGGAUGAUAAAGCAAAGAUUAGCAUGGCCCCUGCGCAAGAAUGAUACAUAAAUUCACUAAGUGUUCCAUAGUAAA
rnacentral:snRNA from 1 species